rnacentral:rRNA from 1 species
CCUACGGGAGGCAGCAGUGAGGAAUAUUGGUCAAUGGGCGAGAGCCUGAACCAGCCAAGUCGCGUGAGUGAAGACGUUCCUAUGUAUUGUACACCUCUUUUGUCGGGGAGCAAAACGUCCUCGUGAGGCCACAAGUUAGAGUACCCGAAUAAAAAGCAUCUGCUAACUCCGUGCCAGCAGCCGCGGUAGUACGGAGGAUGCGAGCUGUAUCCUGAUUUAGUGGGUUUAAAGGGUGCGUAGGCGGACUGGAAAGUCAGCGGUAAAAUCGAGAGGCUCAACCUCUUUCCGACGGGGAAACUGUCGGUCGUGAGUGGGCGAGAAGUAUGCGGAAUGAGUGGUGUAGCGGUGAAAGGCAUAGAUAUCACGCAGAACUCCGAUUGCGAAGGCAGCAUACCGGCGCCCGACUGACGCUGAGGCACGAAAGCGUGGGUAUCGAACAGGAUUAGAUACCCCAGUAGUC